rnacentral:lncRNA from 1 species
CGGGGCGGGAGCCUGGCGGGAAGCUCGCGGGGCUGCAGCCCGGCGGAGGCCCCGGGCCUGGUGUUCCGCACGUUCUAAACCGCCUGUCCCCGAGGAAGUCGGGCAGGGUCGGGCCGGACUCAGCGCCGCUGGCGGGAGCGCCGUCCGCCCCGAGGACCCUGCGGGCCCGGAAGCCGAGACAGGGCCGCCCACGUCAGCGCCUGGCGCGGGCCCGAACGUAAAUGGCGCUCCUCCGCGCCGCAGCCGCAGCCGCCCCGCUCCCUUCCCGCUCCGCCAGCUGCCGCCCUCCCGCGCUCGCUUCUCGCCCCGCGGCCUGGCCCGUGCGCCUCCGAGGCUGGCCAGGGGCACCGAGGCCGCGGGCCCCCCAUCGCCCCCACCCGAGCCCUGAUUUACCGUCCGAGAGCCGGCGGCACAUGGGACCCCGAGAGGAGAAGCGCGCCUGCCCCAGUGCGUCCCCAGGCGGGGGAGCCCCGACUCCUGGAGGGACCGCGUCCUGCCCGGCCCGGGAAGUUCAGGGCUGGAGAACCCCUUCCCCGACCCCAUUUCUCUUUUAACAAGAGUAGGGUUUGUAGCUAACCAACGUCCUGACAGCUCAGCUCUGCUUUCCCUUUAAGCAUUAAUAUCAAAGCCCUGCCUGCUACCGGUGAAGCCCCGACCCGGGAGGGCCCGAAAGUCCCUUCAGGGAGAGGCCGCACUGGGCCUGCUCACCCAGGGGCUGCCCCUGCAGACUCUCCCGAGGGGCCCAGGGAUAUUCCUCGCGCCGCGAGUGGACGCUUCCAUCCACCCCAUGGGGAGGGCCUCUGCGCGUGGCUACUCUGAGCCCUCUGGAAUGCCGAGAUAGUUGCAUAAUUUCAGAAACCACGGCAUGGAGACGGAAUGAUGCAGACUCCUAUCCGCGAGAUACCUGCUGUAAUUUCGCUGUGGUUCGUGAGGACGCGUCCUGGGCUGCCCUGAGAAGCCUACGUCUCCCCUUCGAGGCCCGGGAAGACCUCCAACCCCGCUGACAAUGCUGGGCCCUCAGCCAGACCUGCCCUGCGUGCCACGUUCUGUUCUAAGAUCGGGCUGCCGAGCUGUGGCCUGGAGGAAACCUGGCAGGUGUGGGGCUGCCAUGAGCAGCAAGCUCAGUCCAGAAGAACAGUUCCUCUCCAGGAUCCACUUCCUGCGCACUUUUAUGUGCAGUGUAGCUGGAGCAGAGCUCCCCGGAAUUCCACAGGCAACUGAGAACGGAGAGGGAUGCAGGCCAGCCAGGGAUCCAGCGUCUUCCCCAUCGUCACUCUCCAUGGCCUCCGUCUACACACAGUGUUCGUCUGCACAGCUUGUCAGCGCGUUAUCAUGACUUCUAUUUGGCACCGGCCCGUCUGUCCACUGUCCUGGCUUGUUCCAAGCGCUGCCUUCUCCAACUGGGGUCCUGGCUGCAGAGCUGUCUGCUCCCCACGUUGGGCAACUCCAGCCAAGAUUCCUACACCCAAAUGUGACCGUGUUGCUCACGAAGAAGGCUCAGCUUUGCGUGUGCCCAGCCGUGUGCACAGCUCGUCCCAACUCCUGCGGGUGGCACCUGCCUCUCCCACCUCCAGUCUUUCCCCUGUGAUGAGCAGAUGACCACCGCCCUCCAGGGUCAGCGUUUGGCUGUUUGUGUGCCUGCCCACCCGCCUCCCUGUGCCUGGGCCUGCCCUGUGCCUGCACACAGGAGUGGCUCAUGGCGUUUGCCCUACACGGAUGGGCUGUCCUGGGAGCUACUGGACAGUCACCUUGGUGGGAAUGCCAGAGGCAUGGGCAUUAGGUCCCCCCGGCCAGCCUCCGUUGCCACAUGGGCUAUUUUUGUCCAUCGCGUGGGACAACCUAGUAUUGGGGGAAAACUCAGUCCACUCUAAAGAAGCAUCGGCGUUUUGGAUGGACGAAUGCUGCUUCAUGCGACUCCAUGUCAAUGGACUAUUUUAUUCAACUCGGGUAUUUAUGAGUGUCUCCUCUGUGCCAGCCACGUGUGAAAGAAGAACUCCAAGUUACUGGACACCAGGACAAACCAGGUAGAUCACUGCAUCCGGUUCCUCCUCUUUCUGCCGACUCUCCCGGGCAACCGUUCUGAUUCCUGGCAUGGAGUUGGGGGCGAGCUCAUCAGUACCCAGAGCGCCUGGUGUGCAGCCAAAGGCCCCCAUUUUAUUAGUCGGUGUGUUCAGUAUCACGCUCAAGACAAGGGCCAACCUAUUACUUCACACACCUCAAAUACAAAAAGUGCCUGGGAACGUCGAUGAGGUAUUAAAGGAAACCACUGGUCUUGUCAGUCAUGUACACACAGAAAAAAAAACCAGUCAUUUUUAUUUUUAUUUUUUGAGACAGAGUUUCGCUCUUGUUGCCCAGGCUGGAGUGCAAUGGUGCAAUUUCAGCUCACUGCAAUCUCUGCCACCCGGAUUCAAGCAAUUCUCCUGUCUCAGCCUCCCGAGUAGCUGGAAUUGCAGACACCCAUCACCACGCCCAGCUAAUUUUAUGUAUUUUUAGUAGAGAUGGGGUUUCACCAUGUUGGUCAGGCUGGUCUUGAACUCCUGACCUCAGGUGAUCCACCCACGUCAGGCUCCCAAAGUGCUGAGAUUACAGGCAUGAACCACUGUGCCCAGCCGAAAACAACCAAGAAUUUUUUAACAAUAAAAUGACCAGCAAGUAAACUUGAAACAAAAAUGGACAAAUAUCUAAAAUAUUUUUAAAUGUAUGUAUUUUAAUUGGCAAAUAAUACUUGUAUAUAUUGUUUACAACUUGUUUUAAAGUAUGAAUACAUUGUGGAAUGGCUAAAUCAAGUUAAUUAACAUGCAUUAACUCACAUACUUUUUGUUUUUUGGUGUGGUGAGGACACUUAACAUCUACUCUCUUAGCAAUUUUCCAGUCACCAUGUCCUACUAUAGAUCCCUAGAACAUAUUCCUCCAAUGUAACUGAAAUGUAUCCCUUGACCAACAUCACUGCCCGGCCCCAGCCCCAGGUAAACACCAUUCUACCCUCUGCUUCUGUGAGUUCAGCUUUUCUAGAUUUCACCUGUGAGUGAGAUUGUGCAGCAUUUGUCUUUCUGUGCCUGGGUUUUUUCACAUAAUGCCCUUCUGGUUCAUCUAUAUUGUCAUAUAUGGUAGCAUUGUCUUCCUUUGUAAGGCUGACUGGUAUACCAUUGCGUAUAUACACCACAUUGUUUACCUAAAAUAUUUUUUAAUACAAUCGCUGAAAACUGCCACAUAACUUGUAUAACUGCUGUAAGGCUUGGUUUUCAGCCAUAAGAUGGGAAGAGAAGUAACAUCUACCUUGCAGGAUGACUGCAAGCUGUAAAAUGCCACAAAGCGCAGGGGAGCCCAGAACCGCCGCAGCAGGACAGGUCCUCUGGAAGCAGACAGACCUGCCUUGUUACUUUAGCCAUCCAGAGUCCAGUUUAGCCAGUGAUGAAAUGAGUACAAAAGAACACCUUUCUUGUAGGAUUGCAAAAUGAUGUCUUCAUCCAUUCUGUGCUGCUAUAGCAGACUCCUGCACACUGGGUAACUGACAGCUUACAGAAGCUUGUUGGCUUAUGGUUCUGGAGGCUGGGAAGUCCAACCUCAAGGGGCUGCAUCUGGUGAGGGCUUUCUUGUUGCAUCAUCACAUCGCAGAAUAGCAGAAGGGCAAGGAGAGAGAGAGAAAAGAGUGCUGAACCCACCCUUUGAUAAGAAGCCCACUCCCAUGAUAAUAGCACCAGCCCAUUCAGGAGGGCAAAGCCCUCGUGGCUGCAUCGCCUCUCAAAGGUUCCACCUCUCAAGAUCAUCACAAUGACAAUCAAACUUCAUGAAUUUUGGAGGGGACAAUUAUUCAAACCAGAACAGAGGGGGAUGGCAAAUGUUCUGAAAACAAGCCUAGAAAUUGAUCUUAGAAAUGGUGCAAAAGUAGAUUUCCCCUUCUGUCUUUACCUGUGAUGGUCUAACCCCAAAAGCCUCCCAGAACAGAACUUGUGAGCACAAGAUAGAAACAACAAACUUGAUGCAGAGCUGAGCUCACAAGGAGGUCAGGGAUGUGACAGGAACCAGAGACAAACAGAAGGCUGAAAACCAGGUCUUAAAGUGUGAGAGCCAAAGGGCAGCAGCCCAGGAGAGUGUUCGUCUGGAGCCCCGGGGUUUAAGUCUCCACACUCACAUGGGAAAGGAGACGAGGCCUCCCUGGAUCCACGUGAAUCAGGAACUGGAACAAGGGCACUCAAAGGGCUACGCCAUCAGGAGAGAUGUGAAUGAGUGUGCCCACAGGAACAGGAAGACAACAGGAUGGUUCUGUGUUUGCCUGCCUGUUGUGGUUCUGUGAGACAGAAACAGUUUUGAUGACAAUUGAUAAUCAGGACUCAGAGCCUUGUUAGACUUCAGGUAUUGAAUUUUUUUUUGAGACAGGGUCUAGCUGUGUUGCCCAGGCUGGUCUUGAACUCCUGGGCCCAAGUGAUCCUCCUACCUUGGCCUCCCAAAGUGCUGGGAUUACAGGCAUGAGCUACCGUGCCCAGCCUAGGUAUCGAAUUUUCACAGGUUUCACAGUCCAGGCCCUACCACCCCUGCAGCAAAUAACUUGAUAUAAAACCUGGGCCCAGGCUAGUAAUACCCUUGAAGCCCAUGACAGAAGCAGGCACAGUGAUAGAAGCAAAAUCACGUAGACAUUAUCAAUCUAGCCCCCUCCAAUUCCUACCCAUAAAGCCCACUGAAGAUGAAUUUACAAUCAUAAAGUACAAAACAUGCCAAGAAAGAACCACAUGAGGGAAGUCAGCAGAUGUGUGAACAGCAGGAACGGACUCCGCCACCAAAGGCCUUCAAAAGGUGAAUCAAGCAAAAAAGAGAACAUUAAUUAAACAUGUUUAACAUGGGUAAGAAUUACAGGAAUAAAAGAAGUAAAUGAACAAGAAUACGAUUGCAAGGGAGUGGUAGAAGAAUAGGCAGUUUUGAAGAACUAAAUGGAAUAUCUAGAAUGAAAAACCAUGCUUGCUAAAAUUAACUCAAUGAGUGAGUUUAAAAAGCAAUUUAGACCCAGCUGAGAGCUGAAUUUGUGGUAUAUGCAGAAAUUACUUCUGAUGCGAGGCAGAGCAUGAUGACAGAAUGAGGAGAUCCCAAACAUCUAUGAGAGUUCCAUUCUGAAUGAUUAGAAGAAUGAGGAAGCAACAGUAUUUAAAAAGAUAAUCACUAAGAAAGUUCUAUACUUGAUGAAAAAUGUGAAUCCUAAGAUUCAGGAACAGUGUGAGACUUCAGCUGGGGAAAAAAGAUGAAACUACACUUCUACAUUUAGGAGUAAAACUACAGAAUACAAAAGACAAAAAAAUUUUAAAGUGAAAAAUAAAACCACUCAGAUUACAUCAAAAGCAGUUAUCAUGAAAGCAGCCUAUCAAUUACAAUGAUAAAAGCCAAGCAAUAGUCAAAUAUCGAUUUUUUUCAAAGUCACAAGAUAAAAUAAGUAGUAACAUAGGAUUCUGUACAUAGCAUUAUUUGUUACCUAUUGGGGCAUAACAAAAUUCCCCAAAACUUUGCAGCUUAAAAAACAUUCAGUAUUUCACCAUUGCCAUGAGUCAGGAAUCCAGGCGUGGCUUGAGUCCUCUGCAUAUUGGCUUCUCACCAGACUGCAAUCAGGACAAUAGCACAGUAUCUGUGGUCUCAUCUGAAGGCUUGCCUGAGGAAGUCUGCAUCCAAGCUUACUCUUCGUUGGCUGUUGGGCAGAGGCACCCUCAGCUCCCAGCCAUGUAGGCUUUCCCAUGGUGCAGCUUCUAUCAACAAAGCACGCCAGACAAGAGGACAACACACAGUCUUCUAGGAAGAAGAAAGCCACAAUCUUUUUUUAAAAAGCAAAGCAAUAUUUAUGUAAUUGCCACUUGGUUUGAGAAGUAGAACACUGUGUCAAAAACCCCUCCAAAGCCCCCGCCAGUAACUGCCCUCCUCCUUCUCCCCAGUGCAACCACUGCCCUCACUUCUGUCUUUUUUUCAACUUUUAAAAAUUGUGGUAAAAUGCAUAUAACUUAAAAUUACAACCUUAAUCAUUUUAAGUGUACAGUUUGGUGGUGGUAAAUACACUCGUGAUGUGCAACCAUCACCACCAUGCAUCUGUAUAGAACUCUUUCCAUCUUGUAAAACUGAAACUCUGUCUCCAUUAAACAAUAAUUCAUCAUUUCCCUUCCCCUGGCCCUAGUACCCACCAUUCCACUUUCUGUUUCUAUAAUUUUGACUACUCUAACUACCUCAUAUAAGUGGAAUUCUGUGGUAGUUGUAUUUUUAGCAACUGGCUUAUUUCGCUUGGUGCAGUGUCCUCAAGAUUCAUCCAUGUUGCAGCCUGUGUCAGAAUCUCAUCCCUUUUUAAGGCUAAAUAGUAUCCCAUUGUUCAUACCACGUUCUGCUUAUUCAUUUAUCCAUCAGUGGGCACUUGGGUUGUGAUAUGGUUUGGCUGUGUCCCCACCCAAAUCUCAUCUUGAAUUGUGGCUCCCACAAUUCCCACAUGUUGUGGGAGGGACCCAGUGGGAAGUAAUUGAAUCAUGGGGGCAGGUCUUUCCCAUGCUGUUCUCGUGGUGGUGGAUAAGUCUCACGAGAUCUGAUGGUUUUAUAAAGGGGAGUUUUCCUGCACAAGUUCUCUUCUCUUGUCUGCCGCCAUGUGAUAUGUGCACUUCACCUUCUGCCAUGAUUGUGAGGUCUCCCCAGCCACGUGAAACUGUGAGUCCAUUAAACCUCUUUUUCCUUAUAAAUUA